rnacentral:misc_RNA from 1 species
UUCAAAUAUUUAUUUAUAGAAUUUUUUUAUAAGUAAAUAAUCAUAUGGAAUAUCUCAUUAGGAUGUUUGAUGGUCGGCAACUACGCGCCUGAAAUAAUGAUUGGAGGGAGGUUAGCUCGCUAGAUUUCACGUAGCGAACCAUUUUAUCUGUGCUUAAUCUUAAACGAGCGUCAUGCGCAGUGGAACGGAAGUAGAGAAUGAAGUGCUCUAAACCAUAUUUGGACAAAAGUGGCUUAGAGCUGUUGUACUAACCGAUGUAAUACACAUUAGAUUUUGUAGGGGGCGUGAUUCCAUUCACUCCCACUAAACAUGACAUUUUAAACUUGCCUUAACAUGUUCGGGUUAUAAAAUAGAUAUUACCUA